GAGUUUGAAUCCUGGCUCAGGACGAACGCUGGCGGCGUGCCUAAUACAUGCAAGUCGAGCGRGGUUAUKUAGAAGCUUGCUUCUAMAUAACCUAGCGGCGGACGGGUGAGUAMKACGUAGGCAACCUGCCCACAAGACAGGGAUAACUACCGGAAACGGUAGCUAAUACCCGAUACAUCCUUUUCCUGCAUGGGMGARGGAGGAAAGACGGAGCAAUCUGUCACUUGUGGAUGGGCCUGCGGCGCAUUAGCUAGUUGGUGGGGUAAAGGCCUACCAAGGCGACGAUGCGUAGCCGACCUGAGAGGGUGAUCGGCCACACUGGGACUGAGACACGGCCCAGACUCCUACGGGAGGCAGCAGUAGGGAAUCUUCCGCAAUGGGCGAAAGCCUGACGGAGCAACGCCGCGUGAGUGAUGAAGGUUUUCGGAUCGUAAAGCUCUGUUGCCAGGGAAGAACGUCUUGUAGAGUAACUGCUACAAGAGUGACGGUACCUGAGAAGAAAGCCCCGGCUAACUACGUGCCAGCAGCCGCGGUAAUACGUAGGGGGCAAGCGUUGUCCGGAAUUAKWGGSCGUAWAGCKCGCGCAGRCGKCU
rnacentral:rRNA from 1 species